AUGUUGUGCUGCUGGAGGUAGGAUUUCACCAUCUUCGCUACCCGCCAGGGAUCCUCUCUGGAAGGAGCAGAAAACACUCCUCAAGAGAACUAUCUCUAAUGCCAGUGCAUCAGUGGAUGCCAAGGAUGUGCACUAGAGCUUCCUGAGGCACACCCUGCACAUCCGCCAUCACCACUGCAUGUGGUGAGGCAAGAGCAUUAACUGGCUGAAUAAGGGAAAGGAGUUCCUUGGUGUCCUGAACCUUGUUCAAUUUUGGCUCCACAUUCAGGGUAAAAACUGCAUGGCAUCAGAAAUAAGGUGGAAAAGAAAUAGCAUUAGCUUCCUGUAAACUGAUCUCUGCAGGCACUUUGAUCUCCCUUUAGGAGAGGAGUAAUCUGUGGUUAUCAAAUGAAUUUCCCAAUAUGUGGCUGUUGUCUUUGCCAUCUGCGCUCAGUUUUGUACAAGGUUUUGCCGUGUUCUGUCUAGGCAUUUGUCGUCUGUGAAUGAUAGAAAGCGCUGACCAGCAAAUGAGCAAAGGAUGCACCUUUCUGCUGGAAAGUAAUGCAAAAGUAAAGCAUUUUUUGCUGCUAGUGAGAAAUAAAUGCUGUAAGGAGGGAAGUGACAUUGGAUUUCAGCAUUCAGCUGGAUGUUUUAUGAUUAUAGAUAUCUUUUUCCAGAGCUGACAUCUCUCUUACCAUUCUCUAUGUACCUUUUCUUCUCUAUCCUCCUUUAAGGUGUAGGCACUGGCAUAAAUGUGCUUCAUUUUUUCCUGGACAGAUUCAUUCUGAUAUUAUGCUGAACCUAGUUCACACCCUGAAUCUUGUCAAGGAGGAGACCCCAUGCAGUGGUGCAGGAAAUGAGAACAGGCUUUCAUCAUAGCGUCACACAACAGCUCUGUAUGCAUAUGUACACCAAGCCAUCCAGGAUUAUGGUUUUGCACAUCAGCUGUGUGCAAUUCCAUUGAUUCACAUCUAGACCCACUCAAACUUCUACGUGCUUUACAGAAGAACAGGCAACCUAUUACUUCCUCUUAUUGCCACCUUCCUUUGGGGUAACAGCUGAAGGAAUAGAUAGACCUACUUGAGACCUAUUCACACGACUUGACACUAAUCUGGAAUUUGGGUUUUUAUAAUGACUGUGAAUCUCUGAUUGUUAAGAUCACCUGUUAGAAUAUCCAUGUCAGUUCCUAAGGGAUAUAGAGAAAAUGUGACUUUGUGACUUCUCUGUGUGCGUCAAUUUCACUAGCACUGAAAAUAACAAUAAAAAUAGACAUGCAACCAUACAGUCUAGAACCAAAGAGUGCAGGAGCCUCUUUAUGGAAAAGAUUCUGGUUUAGUUUUUAACAAAGAGCAUCCUGCUGUGUAUCAUCUGUGAAAUCUCUGGUGGAAGUGGUUUGCACGAUGUAGAAAUACAGUGGUGUCACAUCCAACACCAGCAUCAAAGGAGUAACAGCAGGCAAAAAAUGUACCCACGAUUAUGGAGAAACUGUUGCAAGAGCACACAGGUCUAAGCAACAGGCAACAGCUGUACUAUUCAUGGCUUUGUUGACUCAGUAAAUUGCCGGAGGCUGCAAAGUGAUAAGGAGGACAAAGUCCACACCUGUUCUCUCAGAGCAAACACCCUUAUCUCUGUUCCCCUCGCAGUCUCUUUCCCAGUGGCUGGAUAGUUCAAGGAACAAGCUCUGCUGCAGUUAAAGUAUGACAGAAGCGGUGUCAGUUAUAGCUCUCUGAAGAUUCUGUUUUCUUAAAAUAGAACCGUUUGCUUCUCUUCUAUGAUGGCACAGUUGCUAUAGAGGCUUCUAUCUUCUAGUCUCUUCCCUUAACCAUCUUUGUCUUUCAGAAGCCUCAAGUUAGGCUGAACUCAUGAAAGCUUUCCCUUUCUCAGUGUUUUUUUCUUCUCUUGCCAUCCAAACCAAGGAUCAAUCUCUUCCCUCUGUAUUUGUGUUAGUCUAGCCAGUACAUGUACCCUGAAUUUGUUAUGCUAGUUCCUGUACAAAGGAGAAAAGGCUCAGACUUGGAAUCUCUGUUCUCUUAGAUUUGAGCUCUGGCUCAGAUGGGAGGAGGAGGAGGGACUGUCAUUACUGAUGGGAACCUCUGUUAUGUAUCCAUUUCCUUCCUGCACCCUGAUCAUGAGUCACUUCUAUCUCCUCUGACAAGGAGUCUCCUUCUACCUUCCUUACUUCUUUGAGGUAGAAAUAAAGCAGGAAGAGCCUGUGAGUCUCUUUUUACAGUACUUCAAAGCCUUAAGUAUUUUUGUUUUGAGACAAAGCAGAAAGAGCUCUGUGAGGUAAAAUAGUGCAGGGAAGUCUUAGCCCUGUAUGACUUCAUAGGGCAGUUGUAUGAAAUCCAAGCUACUCAGUGUGCUGUCAAAACACAGGCUGUAAUAUUGAUGCAGCAAUUUUUUUGGCCCUAGGCUACAUCACAGAACAAGUGGUGGCAGUUGGUCAGCUCAACCUCACAUGAACCAUUGCCCAAACACCUAGUUCCAUGUCUUUAUCGUUGUCUAAGACAUCAUAAAGUGAAGCCUUCACUGGUGGUAAGACUCACUGACUGUCAGAGGGUAGGAUUUCACUCUAAACCUAGUUUUCCUGGUUCUAGCUGCACUAAAAUCUCGAUUCCUGAGUUAGAACUGUAGGAAUAGGUCUGCCUUUCUCAAACUCUCUUCUGUCUGCAAGCCUCUUUUCUGUAUUUUUAUCUUUUCUUUCUUAGAUGCAAGCUGUCUCCCCACACCUUGUUCUCCCAGGUCUAAUUUCUGCCUGCAGAUUUUUCUCACAUAGUUUUUAUUUCCUUCUUCCUAAGUCUUGCUGUCAGCUUCAUCUUGCCCUCUGAGCAUAGCCCCUCUCCCUGACUCAUCUCAGUCAUAGGGGCCUGGGUCCUCUCUGCAUUCCAGCUUCCCAUUUUCUUAGUUCUGAGGUCACUUUUUAAGGGCGUUUUCACCUCCCUUUUGUUACCUGAACAAUAAGUAACCCAGGUAGUUAGUUAUAAACUCAAAGGGAACAAGAGGCUGGUUGAUAAUUUAUAGCAACAUCUCAAAUUUAAAUGGAAAGUAAAUAUCAAGUUGUUAGCAUUAAAGAAAACCCAUUCCAGAGAGCUGGAGAUGUAACAUUCAGGGGACCUUCUCCUUCCUUCGCUAUUACUGAGUUUCCUUUCUUUUUCCUUUGUUCCUUUCUUUCCCUUCCCCUUCCUCAUUUUUUCCUUCUCUCCUUUCAUUCUUUCCUGUUCUCUGAUUCUCAGGUAAGAGAAUCCUUCGUUUCCUCGAGGUAGGUUCUGAAUUUCUGCUUUGGACCAGACCUCGCUUAAGCAGAGGUUCAGAGCCGGGAAGUUCUCAGGACCAUCCUCUGGCCCUUUCCUCUGGAGCCUGCCAGACAGCCCUCACUGAUGUCAGUGCACAGCCUGGAGCCGAGCUAGGCAGAGAGCAGGGAAGGUGGCGUCUACACCCAGGGUACCACCAGCUCCCCUUGCUGCAAUGACCUAAAAAAAAGUUCAGAUGGCUACAGAAGACCGUGAGGCAAAAAAGAAGUAACCAUUUGGAGUCCAUGUAAAAAUACUUAAUGACCUCACUGAAUGCUACCACUGGAUGCCGUGUGGAGAAUCGUGAGCUGAAAAUGGAAACCUUUCAAAUAUGGAGGAGGUAAAUACUCUAUCGCUUUCACCUGAAGUGCUUUUUCCCUUGGUCUAUUAGAGUUGCCCAUUUUAAACUGUAGUAGCCUAGACAAUUAACAAAACAUGAAAGAAACUUUUUUUCGACUUCUACAUCAUCACCUUUACAUUCACUGUAACCUGCCAGACCCUGCUAGUUAAUGGUUCAGGACUCCAUUAAGUAAUUCAGGUUCUUCAGUGCAGGAAAACUAGUGACCUUUUUAGUGUUUCUUAAACGUUACAAAUUGCUAGCAGUCAGACUGAACACUUGGGAAGUAGACAGGAGACUGCUGCUGUGAGUUACUUCUAUUUUAGAUGUGGACAAUAAAGAUUGCAAUAUCAUUUUUUUUUUUUUCUCAGAUUAUUACAAGUGCCACAACGUGCUGUUCUGAGGUAAUAAGGACAGCAGAGGUCAAGGGUGGAAGCUGCAAUGCACUCCAGUGCUUUAACCAACUAAAUUAUAGUUCUAGUAGGAGAGCAAGAGCAAAAUGGUAGAAUGCCAUAAUCCAUAAUACUCUUGUAACUCAAUUGUACCUCACAGAUUUUGCCUUGAGAAUGAGUAUUAGAAAGAAAAGGAGUUUGUUGCAAUUAAGGAAAUCAACAUACACUAAGCACUGGUAAUAAAUGCAAAUGGAUAUGGCAAAACAAUUUGCUGGGCCAUUAUUUGAUUCUUAAUUUACCCAGACUAACAUGAUCUUCGUAAUUGUGAUAGGGCAAGUUUUUGAAGUUUGAAAACACUGAAUGAUACUGGUUGUUCUUCUCAUGUUCGCAAUAUCUGGUUUUGUUGUUCUGUAAAAUUGCUUGGUUUUCCCUAGAUGUAACUAAUAUGGUGGCUGAACUCCCUCAAAUUCAGUGGUUCAGUGACUAGGCAUAAGCAGCUUUACAACAUUAAACUGGCCAGAUUAACAGCAGGCUCACAAAUAAUGUUUUAUUAUCAAAUUGGUUUGGAUUCAGAUUGCAGAAAUUUAUCAGUAAUCACAAGAAGUCUGAUUUCUAUUUUAUUUUAAUGGAAAGUUUAAUAAAGAUUGUUUAAACACAUUUGAA